rnacentral:snRNA from 1 species
GGAGGUGGGGGGAUCUGGCAGUGGCACUUGUCACCCCAUUGAUUGCCAGGGUUGAUUUGGACCCCAUUGAUCGCCAGGGUUGAUUUGGACCCCAUUGAUCGCCAGGGUUGAUUUGGCUGACCUGGCUGGCUAGGUGGGUGUCCUCUUCCUCACUCACUGCCCCACGUGCAUCCCUCUUGAAGCUGCCUGCUAGGUUGAAGAGGGCAACCAUCCCGAAUAGAGGAGGACAGGUCUUUGGUUAAGGGUAUAUGAGUAGCUGCAUUCCCCUGCUAGAACCUGCAAACAGGCUCUCAAGAAUUGUAGUAUUUUGCUUGAAGUCAUAUAGCUAGUAAGUUGGUGAAUGAAUUUGAAUGAGAUCUAAUUC